rnacentral:rRNA from 1 species
AUGCUCUUCGAUAUAAAAGAGUGGUUCACCGACGAGCGGGCGUCAGCCAUGACACUAUUUGAGGUGACGCAUGGCUGCACACCAUCGAAGAUGAAAGCCAAGAAGGGCGCAUGUGGCAUAUUCCAGGCCGCCAUGGUCGCCGACACCAACCUCGUCAUGGAGGUAGUCCUGAAAGAGCACAUGGACAUUUUUAAGGGGGUGAGCUCGCUUGUUGACGCGGGCGGUGCCCUUGGUGCCGCAGCCGCAGCAAUCGCAAAGGCCCUCCCACACGUCAAGUGCACCGUGCUAGACCUCCCACACGUGAUUGUUGGCGCACCUACCAGCCACGACGUCCAGUAUGUUGCUGGCGAUGUGUUUGAGUAUGUACCACCAGCCGACGCUAUCCUUCUCAAGUGGAUUCUAUGCAUAUGGCGAGACGAAGAUGCCGUCAAGGUACUACGGCGGUGCAAGGAAGCUAUACCAGCUGGAGGGAAGGUGAUAAUCUUCGAUGGCGUGGUAGAUUCUGGGGCGUCACAGAAUGUUAUUCUUAAGGAGACGCAAGUUCUAUUUGAUAUCAUGAUGAUGGGCAUCGAUGGGGUCGAACGAGACGAGCAGCAGUGGAAGAAGAUGUUCGUUGAAGCAGGAUUUGGGGACUAUAAGUUCACUCCAGUGGGACAUCGAUCCAUCAUUGAAGUCUACCCAUGA